GCCUAACUCGAGAAAUUCCUAAGUCAAGUACGGAGGUGGCCUAGCGGUGUCAGGUAGCGCCUAGGACAGAAAAACAUGGCGCCGUAGAAGACCGCAGACGUCACCGGAAGAUUUUUCGUCCUCGGAAAGACGUGCUGUGUGAUUAUAACGACGAAAAACUCGUUAAGAUGAAUUGCUUGGAUCGCCCUUCAAAGUCCGACACAGAGGAACACCUGAGAUGAAGGUGGUGAUUUUACUAAGACAGGUGAUGGAACUCCUCAAAUGUCAUCUUGGCAAGAUCCUGCAAUGAUGCAGAGGAUGGGUGCACUGGAAGUUAUUGUCCCUCUGCAGCAGUUCGAUAUUCUGGCUUUCCUGCCAUAGCUUGCUGUACCAACUGUGGGAGAGAGGAGCAUACUGAUUUUUUUUUUUUUUUUUUUUAUACUUAGGAGAGCAUAUUUUUGUUAUAAUAUGCAGGUUUGUGUUAUUUGAACCCUACACUUAUUAAUGAUUGACUGUAAUAUAACCAUACAAGGACUAAAUUAACCAAAACACAGGAACUAGGUGUAUGUCCCUAGUAAAACUUGGUAUCACGUUUACAAAUCUGCACUUCCAAGACUAGUCUGUUACUGCAUGUGUAUACAAUUAUUUUAUAUAUCUAAUUUGUAUUUAAGUGAAAUCAUUUGGUCCAAUAUGAAAAUAAAAUCUGUAAAGAAAUAAACAAGA